GACGAACGCUGGCGGCGGGCUUAACACAUGCAAGUCGAACAGAAAGGCCCUGCUUUUGUGGGUUGCUCGAGUGGCGAACGGGUGAGUAACACGUGAGUAUACUGAACCUGACUUUGGGAUAACUUCAGGAAACUGGGGCUAAUACCGGUUAGGAGUUCCUGCUUCUUGGGGGGGCUUGGAACGAUUCGGCGGUUGGGGAUGGACUCGCGGCUUAUCAGCUUGUUGGUGGGGUAGUGGCUUACCAAGGCUUCGACGGGUAGCCUGCCUGAGAGGGUGACCGGCCAAAUGGGGACUGUGAUACGGCCCGGACUACUACGGGAGGCAGCAGUGGGGAAUAUUGCACAAUGGGCGGAAGCAUGAUGCAGCAACGCCGCGUGCGGGAUGACAGCCUGCUGGUUGUAAACCGCUUUCGCCGGUGACGGAGCGUGAGUGACGGUAAUGGGUAAAGAAGCACCGGCUAACUACGUG
rnacentral:rRNA from 1 species